CCCCUAGUAGCGGCGAGCGAAGCGGGAAGAGCUCAAAUUUAUAAUCUGGCACCUUCGGUGUCCGAGUUGUAAUCUCUAGAAGUGUUUUCCGCGUUGGACCGCACACAAGUCUGUUGGAAUACAGCGGCAUAGUGGUGAGACCCCCGUAUAUGGUGCGGACGCCCAACGCUUUGUGAUACACUUUCGAAGAGUCGAGUUGUUUGGGAAUGCAGCUCAAAUUGGGUGGUAAAUUCCAUCUAAAGCUAAAUAUUGGCGAGAGACCGAUAGCGAACAAGUACCGUGAGGGAAAGAUGAAAAGCACUUUGGAAAGAGAGUUAACAGUACGUGAAAUUGUUGGAAGGGAAACGCUUGAAGUCAGACUUGCUUGCCGAGCAAUCGGUUUGCAGGCCAGCAUCAGUUUUCCGGGGUGGAUAAUGGUAGAGAGAAGGUAGCAGUUUCGGCUGUGUUAUAGCUCUUUGCUGGAUACACCUUGGGGGACUGAGGAACGCAGUGUGCCUUACGGCGGAUUUCUCGAGAUCUUCACACUUAGGAUGCUGGUGGAAUGGCUUUAAACGACCCGUCUUGAAACACGAGUACCGCCAAA
rnacentral:rRNA from 1 species